UACUAAUCAGUACAUGUCCUAAUUAUACUGACCACAUAAACAACUCAGAACAAAUGGAGUGCACCAACACCUUCCGCUGAGCUGGUAGCCUACUUGGAGGACUCUCAACCUGUCUAUCAGGACCUGCGGGCAUGAAACGCAGCAUCCCCAGGCAAAAGGGACGUUAGUACAAAUAAUGUACCGAGUAUGUAAGGAAUGAAAAUUAAUAAACAAUAAACAUGAGAGAAACAUGGAGUAAAAAAUUCAACAUGAAUAUCUGAAUAGCUCUGUGAAUCAUUUAAUAUUAUNNNNNNNNNNNNNNNNNNNNUCUGAGGGCAUCCCAUUAUAUCAUCUCAGCUACUGUGGGCAAAUGAUUAACGUAUACCAGCCGAUCAGGUGAUAGUACGUAUAUAACGCCAUAACCUUUUCUCAUAUCCCAUAUACAUAUAAUAUACGCGUAUAUAACGCCAUCUAGUCAUGGGUCAAUGUACAUAUAUAAAUGCAUGAAAUGCAUAAGAAAUACGUUAAUAAGAUUUUCUUGGAAUGUCAUAAAAUCAAUAUAUCUUUCGGAUAAACUUUAUCAAAUAUAUAUUUUUCUGAGACCCAUGAACAAAAGAUAUAAUAAUAAUUCACAUGGGGAAUCAAGAAUAUAAAUACCCAUAAUAUUUCUAUGAAUAAACUCAUUUAUGCAAAUUAUGCAUUUGCUCGUUUCGUUCGUGUCGUAUAGAUCAUGCCAAAAAGAGAGAAGGGAUAGCCUUAACAUACCUGAGCCGAUUCUCUUGACAAUCCAACAAAUCACGUAACAGCGAGAUCGGAGUAGGAAAAAAUCCAUAUGAUAUUCUUGCGAAAGAUUGCACCGUACUCCCUUAAAAUUGCUACAUCUCACGAUGCUAAGAUGCUAAGAGAUUUUGUUUGCAUAAAGUCACGUACUAAAGAUUAGAAUGCAAACUUUUUGAAUUUGCUGAAGCAGUAACGUUCCCAUUCCCUUU
rnacentral:lncRNA from 1 species